rnacentral:lncRNA from 1 species
CACAUUUUUGUAGAUAAUUAACACAAUUUUUCAACUUGAAAUUGAUUAUUAAUAAGAUGUAAUUGAUUACUAGAGCGAAAUUGGUCUGCAAAUAGCAAAAUCCUGCAAAAUAAUGCAUCUCAUGCUUUGCAGAAGUCUAAACACUUCAGAAACCAUAUUGAAACAAGUUAUUACAGCAAUAAUUAUCGAAUUUGGAAGUUCACUAUUAUAUAUUCAACAAAACAUGUAUAAAAUCCCAAUUUUCUUAUUCAAAUUUACAAACAAAUUUUCUUGCAGUAAACAUACAAAUUUUUCUUAUCACAGAAAACCCCAACUUCUCAUUCAAAGAGACCAAUUCCACAAAUUUCAAGCCAUCACCAAUUUAACAUGUUUUAUGCAACCCAGCCACUCAAUUUAAAGAAACAGUGCAAUUCCAGACUCAGAAACACAAAUUCAUUGCACAACCAAUAAUUAAAAAUGAAAUUCAACAUGAAAUAGAUAAAUUUAGCUUUCUUCCUCUCAAUUUCUAUUCUUAGACUUCUCAACACCUUUCCACAAACUUUUACACCCACAAACACCAUCCACAUAUAUAAAGAGAUCAAAUCAAUGAUUCAACUACAUCAUUGGAUUUGUUGGGAAACAGCGGUACUUGUUCCCUCCUCUGUGAACCCCAAAAUGGGCACUAUGCGGAAGCGUAGAAAUAGAAAGCGUAAAAUAACACCGGAAAUUUUAACGUGGAAAAUCCUCUCGGAAAAAACCACGGGACCUAGUCCAAAAAUAUCUCCACUAUGAAAAUAGGAUUACAGUGUCUCUCUCACUCUCUGAGGAUCUCUCAAUAAAUCUCACCCUCUCGGAUGGUAUACAAAAUAUUUUCUAUUUCACACACUCAUGAAAAUAGACUCUCUCUAUUUUUCUCCUUCCUCACCGUGGCUCUUAGCUUCUUUCUUCACCGGUUUUGAUUCUCGGUGGUUAUGCUCUCUGUAUCUUAAUUGUUGUUGCCAUUCUUCAUUCAUUUAUAAUGAAUGAGGGAAGAAAAAGGACAAGAAACAUGAUUGGUGGCUUGGAGCAUUUUACGGAGCUUUGUCAAGGAGUGGGUGGUGCUUUUUNGAUGGUGNCAGACAAUGCAUAUUCAUCAUUGGAGUGGGUGGUGCUUUUUGGAUGGUGGCAGACAAUGCAUAUUCAUCAUUUUUGUUUUAUUCAACAAAACUCCCCCAUAAAACAAAAAUGGGUUCCAUCCCGUCUUUGUAUCUUAGCUUAGUUGGAAGAUACCACGAUGCCAGCACCUUGGCAACAGUCUUCAACCUUCUUGGUUGGUAUUGACUUAGUCAUCAUGUCAGACCAAUUUAAGUCUGUAUGGAUUUUCUCUAUCUUCAAUUUCUUUUCAUCUAGCGCUUCUCGUAUCCAGUGAUACCGCACGUCGAUAUGCUUCGAGCGUGAAUGAAACAUGGGGUUCUUGGUCAGAUGAAUGGUACUUUGAUUAUCACAGUGCACCACAUAAUCAUCUUGAUCAUGUCCUAAUUCACUUAGGAAAUUCUUCAUCCAUAACAUCUCUUUAGAGGCUUCAGUCACCGCUACAUACUCUGCUUCAGUAGUAGAUAAUGUCACACAUUUUUAUAGGUUUGACUGCCAAGAAACAGCUCCUCCUGCAAAAGUAAUCAGAUAACCUGAUGUUGACUUCCUUGAAUCGACAUCUCCAGCCAUGUCUGAAUCUGAGUAUCCGAUUAGCUUUAGAUCUCCAUUGCCAAAACACAAGCUUCUUUUGGCAGAUCCUCUAAGAUACCUUAGUAUCCACUUAACAGCUUCCCAAUGCUCUUUUCCUGGAUUUGACAGGAAUCUGCUCACAACUCCUACAGCAUAGCCAAUAUCUGGCCUUGUACAAACCAUUGCAUACAUAAGGCUACCCACGGCAGAAGAGUAGGGUACCUUGCUCAUUUCUUCUUUUUCUUCUUCGUUCUCUGGACCUUGCGACUUGCUGAGUUUGAAAUGUCCAGCAAUUGGAACACGAGCAGAUUUGGCAUUGUGCAUGUUGAACCUUUUGAGAAUCUUCUCAAUGUAAUCUUCUUGAGAUACCCAUAGCAUUCUUCUAGAACGAUCUCUGGAGAUUUUCAUUCCAAGUAUCUUCUUUACUGCACCCAGGUCUUUCAUGGCAAAAGACUUGCUCAAUGCCUUCUUGAGAGCAGCUAUUUUAAUUUUGUCCUUUCCCACAAUCAACAUAUCAUCAACAUACAAGAGAAGUAUGAUGGACUCACCAUUUUCAUAAUGCUUCACAAACACGCAAUGGUCUGCGGAGGUCUUCUUGAAAUUAUGUUGGAUCAUGAAGGAAUCAAAUUUCUUGUACCAUUGUCUUGGAGCUUGCUUUAGACCAUAGAGGCUUUUCUUCAGACGACACACUAAGUGUUCUUUGCCUGGUUCUUCAAAACCCUCUGGUUGCUUCAUGUAAAUUUCUUCCUCUAGAUCUCCAUGUAAGAAUGCUGUUUUGACGUCCAGUUGUUCAAUCUCCAGGUCUAAUUUUGCUGCUAGACCGAGAAUUGCUCUGAUGGAUGUCAUCUUCAUCACUGGUGAGAAUAUUUCAUCAAAGUCUAUUCCUUUCUUCUGGUUGCACCCCUUCACGACAAUUCGUGCUUUGUACCUUGGGCUUGGGCUGUUUUCUUCAUCCUUGAGCUUGAACACCCAUUUGUUCUGCAAUACUCUUCUUUCUUUUGGUAAUUCUACCAAAUCAUAUGUCUGAUUCUCCUUUAAGGAUUGAAUCUCUUCUUUCAUGGCUUGCAACCAUUUGUCUUUGUCUUUCAUCUCCAUUGCUUCUACAAAGCUUUGAGGUUCGCCUUCAUCAGUAAAAUUAACAUAUUCAUCUGAAAAAUACCUUCUUGACGGUUGCUUCUGCCUUGUUGAUCGUCUCAAUUGGGGUUCUUGUGGAGCAUCCUCAAUUGGUUGAUCUACUUCCGUCAGAUUAGGUUGAUCUGCUUCUUCAGCCAUUUCAUCAAGUUGUAACUCCUGAUUUGUCUCAACUUGACGAGUUUCUCCCCCUAAGUUGUUCAUCACAAUAGGGCUUUGAUCACUUAUCAGCUUAAGUGUUGGUUUCUCCACUUUCUUGAUGUCUUGGAUUGUCUGAUCUUCAAAGAACACCACAUCUCUGCUUCGAACAAUCUUUCUGUUUGCAGGAUCCCAUAAUCUGAAACCAAAUUCGUCUCUCGGAGAACCAAGAUAUACACAUUCUUUCGCCUUCGCAUCAAGCUUUGCUCUUUCAUCUUUCGGAAUGUGAACUGAUGCCUUCCAUCCGAAGACUCUCAAGUUGCGAUAUGAGGCCUUUUUACCGGACCAUACUUCUUCUGGAAUCUUUCCAUUUAAUGGUCUUGAAGGUGAUAAGUUGAUUAAAUCAGCUGCUGUCACCACUGCCUCCCCCCAAAAUGACUUGGGAAGUUUUGCGUGAGACAACAUGCUCCUGACCUUCUCGGCAAUCGUUCUGUUGAAUCUUUCAGCUACACCAUUCAUCUGAGGUGUCUUGGGAGGUACUUUCUCAUGUUUGAUCCCAUGAGUCUUGCAAUAGUGCUCGAACGGACCUUUAUACUCUCCACCAUUAUCACUUCUCAGACAUUUCAACUUUCGACCAGUUUCACGUUCAACUGAGGCGUGAAACUCCUUGAAGAUUCGUAGAACUUCAUCUUUUCUCUUCAAUGGAUAGACCCACAACUUUCUGGAGUGGUCAUCAAUGAAGGUAACAAAAUAUUGAGCUCCACCAAGGGACUUUUCAGAUGUUGAACAAACAUCUGAGUGUACAAGAUCCAAAAUAUGAUCUUUUCUUCUUCCAUUUUUAGAUCUACGGAAAGACACUCUACGCUGCUUACCUGCUAAGCAAUCUUCACAUAGUUCAAGUGGUUGCCCUUUUAUACUUUGGAGAUGAUCUUUUGCGAGGAUCUCUAAUCCCUUCUCGCUCAUGUGGCCUAGUCUUUUGUGCCACAACUCCUUACUUUCUUCUUGAGCAACAUUCGUCUCUCCUUUGUAUAUCUUUCCUUGCAUACAGUACAAGGAGCCUUCCUUCUUGCCUCGAGAAACAAUCAUGCUUCCUCGACAGAGUUUCCAUCUUCCAUUGCUGAAUUGGUUGUUCAUUCCAGCAUCAUCUAAUUUGCCAACUGAGAUAAGGUUUAGACGCAUCUCUGGUACAUGUCUUACCUCCUUCAGUACAAGUUUGUUUCCAUUUUCUGUCGUCAAAGCCACAUCUCCUAUGCCCACAAUUUUGCUUGUGACAUGAUUUCCCAUCUUCACUGUUCCAAAAUCUCCUUUUUGAUAGGAUGAGAAGAAUCCCUCAUGAGGAGUAACAUGGAAAGAUGCUCUGGUAUCAACUAUCCAAGUGCAAUCAUCAAAAACAAUAUUUAGAUAGUUUACCUCACUGAUAAAGAACACAUUCUCAUCAUCUGAUAUUACCGCUGUUGUGGUCUUUUCUUCCAGCUUCUUUUUGGGAUCUACCACAUCAGGGUGUACAGUUCCAUUCUUCUGAUCUCUCUUCAGGAAUCUACAUUCUGGCUUCUUGUGACCAUCUUUUCCACAAUAAAAGCAUGUCAAACCUUUGGAACGAGAUUUGAAUCUCCCUCGUGACUUUUCACGUUUUCCUUUGCUUCUGUGUUCACUCCUUCCUCUAUUCUCAACAACAUUGGCUUCUGAGUAACUACUCGAUCCCCUUUCUUUCCUUCUGGAUUCUUCAUUCAGUAAACUAUCUGUGAUGUUAUCCAGACUGAGCUUUCCAUCUGGUGCUGAGUUACUGAGAGUGACCACCAACGUGUCCCAACUCUCUGGUAGAGAACUAAGGAGUAGGAGAGCUUGUAACUCGUCAUCUAUCUUCAUAUCUGCCUUCAUUAAUUGGUUCACAAUACCUUUGAAGGUGUUGAGAUGCUCGAUCAUAUUCUGGUCGUCAGAAUACUCCAACUUCACGAGUCGCCUGACAAGGUGAGCUUUAUUUCUCGGAGUCUUCUUUUGAAUCAUAGAUUCAAGCUUUGUCCAUAACUCAUACGCAUCGGUAUAAGUCGAUACAUGCUCAAACAAGCUUUUGUCGAUGUAUUUCCGAAUCAUAGCCACUGUUUUACGAUUCAGAAUCUCCCAAUCUUUUUUGGUCUUCCCUUCUGGAAUUUCCGGAUUUGUGAUCGGCUCAUACAAAUCCUUGCAGUAUAGAUGAUCUUCCAUCAUCGGCUUCCAGUAGGAGUAAUUAUCCGCAGUCAGCUUGAACAUGUCUCCUUCCAUCUUGAGUUUCACAGGAUUCUGACUUUUUCGAACCGGUAGCUCUGAUACCACUGCUGGGAAACAGCGGUACUUGUUCCCUCCUCUGUGAACCCCAAAAUGGGCACUAUGCGGAAGCGUAGAAAUAGAAAGCGUAAAAUGAAAGUGUGAAGAAAAUAACACCGGAAAUUUUAACGUGGAAAAUCCUCUCGGAAAAAACCACGGGACCUAGUCCAAAAAUAUCUCCACUAUGAAAAUAGGAUUACAGUGUCUCUCUCACUCUCUGAGGAUCUCUCAAUAAAUCUCACCCUCUCGGAUGGUAUACAAAAUAUUUUCUAUUUCACACACUCAUGAAAAUAGACUCUCUCUAUUUUUCUCCUUCCUCACCGUGGCUCUUAGCUUCUUUCUUCACCGGUUUUGAUUCUCGGUGGUUAUGCUCUCUGUAUCUUAAUUGNUGUUGCCAUUCUUCAUUCAUUUAUAAUGAAUGAGGGAAGAAAAAGGACAAGAAACAUGAUUGGUGGCUUGGAGCAUUUUACGGAGCUUUGUCAAGGAGUGGGUGGUGCUUUUUNGAUGGUGNCAGACAAUGCAUAUUCAUCAUUGGAGUGGGUGGUGCUUUUUGGAUGGUGGCAGACAAUGCAUAUUCAUCAUUUUUGUUUUAUUCAACAGGAUUGGAGUAAAGUUGAGCCACAUGCAACUCAGCAACCCCAAAUAAACUGAAAAACGCAACUUUGAAUCUAGAAAAAAGAUAAAAAAAAAAAGAAAAUUACUUUAUUUGCUAUUUUAAUUGGAUAGAGUUGAAGAGCUCUUCCCGGUAAUUCUAACAAUAGACUUUAAUCGAAUGACAUAUGAGAUACAAAUGAGAUAUCAAGGGGAGGAAAUCCAAAGACCUAGGAAGAAAAUUGAGGGAGAGAACCAUUUUUUUUUCACAUAGCUUUCUAAAUAGACUCCUAUUUAUAACUUAACCUAGCACAUCUAGAAGUAUAUUUUAAAGGGUCUCACAGUUUAUAUAAUAUUUUUUUAAAAAAUUUAAAAAUCUUAGAUCUGUUAUCCACAAUUAAAGUAAAUUAACGAACUCAGAAACAAAGUUUAUUAAUUAAUGCAAAAAAAUUUAUUUUUUAUGUUUGGUUUCAUUUUAAAU